rnacentral:tRNA from 1 species
GGGGGUAUAGCUCAGUGGCAGAGCGUGUGCUUAGCGUGCACGAGGUCCUGGGUUCAGUCCCCAGCACUGGUA